UACGGAGGGUGCAAGCGUUGUCCGGAUUUAUUGGGCGUAAAGCACGUGCAGGCGGCUUGUUAUGUCGAGUGUGAAAUCCCACGGCUCAACCGUGGAACUGCGCUCGAAACUGGCAAGCUUGAGUUCGGAAGGGGGAGAUGGAAUUCCCGGUGUAGGGGUGAAAUCCGUAGAUAUCGGGAAGAAUACCGGUGGCGAAGGCGAUCUCCUGGUCCGAUACUGACGCUCAGACGUGAAAGCGUGGGGAGCAAACAGAAUUAGAUACUCUGGUAGUCCACGCUGUAAACGAUGAACACUAGGUGUUGGGGGUACCAAUUCCUUCAGUGCCGUAGCUAACGCGUUAAGUGUUCCGCCUGGGAAGUACGGCCGCAAGGCUAAA
rnacentral:rRNA from 1 species